rnacentral:lncRNA from 10 species
CGGCCCCUCCCUCCCAGGCAGAGCCACGCGCCCCAGGCCCCCUCCCCAGGCCCGCCCACCCUGGUGGACCGUGCGGCCAAGCACGCCCACCCCCGGACACUGGCUGCCCGGUCCCGGAUCCCCAAGGGCGACGUUUCUAUUUGGGAUCCACAACAGGUGCCUGAGAAACAAAGCCGCAGAUCGCUCCACCGCUGUGCGCAGCCCCCUGCUGAGGGGCCAGCGGCUCUCCCUGGGACCCCAGAACCUUAACACAAUUCUGAGGUGGAAGAAAUGGGGAACACCAGGCCUGGCCUCAUGGAGACCGGGGAGUCAGAACCUGAGCUCUGGCUCCUGGAGCUGCUGCGAGUGAGUGGUGGAAACCUGCCCCCUUAGAGAAGCUGCAGCUGAUCAGCAUCAUGCAAGGGACUGCUGAGAUGGUAGCAUGCUGGUAAUGAAGUGUUAUGGAGCCACUCCAUCCUUUAUUCAUCCUUUUCCUCAUACACACAGAGAGCAAAGGUGUAUAAACCAUCUUGUUCAUUGUCCCCUUUCACACAGGAGUUGUUUUGGGGAACAUAAUAGUCACACAGGAACCAGCUACAGAAUUUGCAAGUGGAGAAUCCAGGUACCUUUAAAAGUCUAUUUAGUGAAAAUCUCUGGCUAUUGAUGUGACGGUUAAUUUUAUGUGCCAACUUGGCUAGGCCAUGGUACCCAGUUUUUCAUAAAAGAUCAGUCUAGAUGUUGUGAAGGUAUAUUUUUAAAUGUGAUUAACAUUUUAUUCAGUGGACUUCAAGUAAAGCAGAUUAUCCUCCAUAUAGUGGGUGGGCCUUCUCCAAUCAGGCCUUAAGAGCAAAGACCAUGGUUUCUCAAAGAAAGAAUUUUCCUCAAGACUGCAACAUAGAGACCUUGCCUGAGUUUCCAGCCUGAUACCCUGAAGAAUUUGGACUCAAGACUGCAAUAUCAGCUCUUUCCUGAAUUUCUAGCCUGCUGGCCUGCCCUACAGAUUUUAGAUCUCCCAGCCCAAUUGCAUGAGCUAAUUCCUUAAAAUAAAUAAAUCUCUGUGUGUGUAUGUGUGCUGUAACUAAUAUAUCCUAUUGGUCUGUUUCUCUGGAGAACCCUAACUAACACAAUUGUCUACCAUAUUACUGCAUAAAAGACUUAUGACUCACCUUUACUACAUUUCAGGGAAGUAGAAACACCUGCCAUAAUUCACAUUUUACAGUUUUAUGGAAAGUAGGCAGGACUUUCACCAAGCUGAGUUAGGAAGCCAGAGUGCUUCACCCAGCCCCAUAAUUAACUACCCAUACUACUACACAAGAAAAUUACUUAACAUCUUUAACUUGCUCGUAUUCUAAACGUGAAUAAUCAUACCUACUUCACUAGAUAUUAGUAUUAAAAUGAAAUAAUGUAUGUAAAUCCUGUAAUAUGAUGCCUGCUCAGC